UACAAAACUGUGGACUGCAGAUCAGUGGUUGUCAGCCUGCUUUCAGCCAGAACGCACCUGAGUAAUGGUGAUUCGAAAAGGGCCAGAAACUAAAAUGUCUGCAAGGCCAGGCUGAUAAAUGAGUGAAGUGAACUGAAUAGGAGAACCCACAGGAAGCCAUUAGGAAGACCUUGGUGCACAAGAGUACACGUACACACACAAACACACACACACCCACACACCUCUAAACGUUCACAUGCUCACCAGCUCCA
rnacentral:lncRNA from 1 species